CUUUUAGUUCUCCCCUUUUUUACUUGUUGGAGGCUAGUUCCAAAAACGAAAAGACAAGGGUUCAACCCCCUUUUUAGACUCAACCACGCCGAACGGAGGGGAAGGCUCCGAUAACGCGGCGGCGGGGCCGGAUCUGGUGUUGAAGUUGUGGAGAACGAGGGGCGUGAAACAUGGGCGAAAACAUGGAGCGGGGUAUACGGGGAUCCUGUCUGGAGUGCUGACGUGGGGGUUGAGUUUGUAGUCUGCUAAAAAUUUUUGAGAUAGUGGGCUGGUAGGGUUAAUUUAGGUUGUGGGCUGAUGGGGUUUUAAUUUGGGCCAUGUAUUAUUAAUUAAACUGUUUUAUUAUUAUUAUUAUUAUUAUUGAUUUGGCCUCGGGCUAAGGUUGAAA